rnacentral:lncRNA from 1 species
GUAUAUAUUGUAAUCUACAUGAAUAAAGUACUCAAUCAAUCAAUCAAUCUCUCUCUAGUAAAGACUAGUCAACAAUAUCGAUGUGAACUCACUUGACAAAAUUAGUGUUGAUGGUGUCGAAAUAGCUUACUGUGAUUUAGUUAAAAACCUUGGAAUUAAUGAACGAAAAUCUUGACUGGUCUGAUCAAAUUAAUAAGACUUGUAAAUUUGUAUUCUCUGCCAUGCAUUCAUUGAAGUACAUUCAUUAAUGCAUUCAUUAAAAUACAAUUAAUGUAUUUAUUAAAUAUGAAACUUUCUGAACAGAUUAUUGCAAAUUAUUUUAUAUUUAUUUUCACACUUUUUAUAUUGUAUAAAUGCAAUGAUAAAUAAAUAACUAUUUGAUUGAUUGAAUAAUGAACAAAGUUUGAAAUUAUAUUUAUUUUACGCAGUGUGGCAAGUUCCGACAUUGAUUUGGAAACAGUGAGACCAAUAAGAAAAACAAAGGUUGAAAAUUGGUAAGGUUCUGAAUAGUAUAUAACUAUACCUUAUCAUGGAAUAUCAUCGAAUAUAUAUUUGAACUUACGAAAACUCGUAUGUAGAAAGAUUUAAUACAUUUUCCCAUGAGUUACAUUUCCAUGUACUACAUGGUAUUUUCAUGUAUUAUUACAUGGUAUUUCCAUCAAUGAAUCUAUUGGUGGAAAUAUAUGCAAUGGAAAAAGGUAUUUAUAGCCUGAUAUAAUAACAGAUAAUUAUAAUACUAGUGAACUAUUGUAUUACACCACUGUAUGUGAUAACAUGAUUUCUUAUUGAAGUGAAUUGAAAUGCUUAUUGAAAUCAAUAGAACAAUUCAUUUCCAAAUUAUACAUUAUCUAAGGUUUCUAUUAUCAGUGAAAGGUAAUACAUCUACUGUAAUGAAAAGAGAAUUUCAGAAGCAAAAUAGAUAAUUUCUGUUCUAUAUUAAAAACUUUACAAAUAUUGAUUCCACAUAAUUAUUAUAACAUCAACCUAUAAUAAAGAUUAUCAUGAGAAAUAAUAAUGCAUAUUCAUAUUAUCAAAAUUCAUUACAAUUUCAAGUUCUAUUUUCAAUAAAAUUUACAAAGGAAAUGCAGAAAAUGUUUUUUCUUUUGUAAUGGCAGGCCAUUGUCCACUGUCCACUCCCUGUUCAACAACCACUCCUUCUCUGUCUAACAUCACUCACUCUCUCACAUACUUCCCCCCUUCUUUUCACUACACGUUGUCGAAAUCAAAGCGCGUUUUGCCGCGUUUUUGGUUUUUGUUCUACUCAUCUACUCUAGUCUCUGUAAGUGUUUCAGUCGAAAAGGAUGCAUCAUGCACCACAUUUCCUGUACAUGGAAAGUUCCAGUUCUCUUUACAGUGCUUCAGUCAUUUAUUAGUUUUAAAAUAACGUGAAUAUUUGAUCUUCUAUCAAAAAAUGGAAAUGUUUGCGAUUGGCAUUGUAUGGAGAAUGAUUAUAAUGAUGCUACAGAGUAAUAUCGAAAAAAGAGAUGUGCAAAAAAGUGGAAGCAUACAUUAAUUAUUCAUAAUGCAUAUCUCAGCAACAACAAAAAAAUUAAUUUCUAGAAGAAAACUCAGGACACAUUGGAUCAAAUGUGAAUAAAACUUUCAAAGGUGUCUGCCAAAGAAAUUUCUAAGAGAUGGUCAAUGAGUCUGUCAUUGGAGAAGAAGUCAACAAUUGGCUCCUGCAACCGAAAUUUAAAAGAGCGUGCCG